AUCGCUUCUCGGCCUUUUGGCUAAGAUCAAGUGUAGAAGUGACCAGGGAGCUUGUGGUCUUAUCAUUCUUGUAAUGUCUUGGUUUGAGUAAACACAGGUGAUAACAUCUUUAAUAGCUUCUUUUUUGGGUCCGGUUAUUCUUUGUUGAUCACAGAUGACUGUCAUAAAAAGGACACCCUCC
rfam:Canis lupus familiaris chromosome 5, whole genome shotgun sequence.